rnacentral:snoRNA from 1 species
UUUGUGGGGAUUGUGUGUAACAAUGUUUUGCUGUAAUAUUUUGCAUUACUCUGGAAGAGUUCCCCAAAACAAAUUUGGGGAAGAUGGGCAGUUGUAUUUCACUUUGAUGUGAAAAUAACAACAAUCAUCUCCCCACAAUU